ensembl:lncRNA
AGUUCUAAUACAAACUCUCGGCGGACUCUGCGCCUACUCCGAGUGCCAGAGCAUUUGCUGGGGCUAAACGCAGGGUGAGGAGAAUCGGGGUGACCCCGGGGCUGGACCGAGGUGUCCUGGGGGCCGCGGGCUUGGCCGGGACGCUCGGGGGAUGGGGCGGGGCGCCCUGUGACUCCGAAGGCCCCGCCCGCCCCGCCACGCGCUCCCUGGCCGAGCGCGCUGCCUGCCGCGCGGUUUUCUGUGCCCUGCGCUCGUCCUGCGCGGACCCCGCUGCGCACCCGGCUCUCUCCGCGCCCCAGACCCGGUUCUUAGGAAGUGGAUUGUUUUGAAAAUAAAGUACACCGUGAAGACCUCUAAGGGACUCGCUUUUGUCAUCUCAAGUCUCUGAAGGCAGAGCUGACAGUUUUCCUGGGAAGUUCACCCUCCCGGAGUGAAACCUGACUCUCAGGAUGAUCCUGUCUAACGCCACAGCCGUGACACCUGUGCUGACCAAGUUAUGGCAGGGGACGGUUCAACAGGGCAGCAACAUGACUGGGCUGGCCCGCAGGUUCCCGGGCCAUGAGGACGGCAAGCUGGCAGCCCUCUACAUCCUCAUGGUCCUCGGCUUUUUCGGCUUCUUCACCCUGGGCAUCAUGCUGAGUUACAUCCGCUCCAAGAAACUGGAGCACUCCCAUGACCCAUACAACGUGUACAUUGAGUCCGACACUUGGCAGGAGCAGGACAAGGCGUACUUUCAGGCCCGGAUUCUGGAGAGCUGCAGGGCAUGUUACGUCAUUGAGAACCAGCUGGCUGUGGAGCGACCCAGUGCAUACCUUCCCGAGAUGAAGCGGUCGUCCUGACCCCAGGACCAGUCAAAACUGGACAGAGCCUCCCUGAUGAGCUGAUUUUUCUAAUCACAUGUUCCUUUUUUCUUUAUUGUAUGAGUAUAAUUGGGGUUUUUGUCUAUCAUAGGGGGUGAAAGGGUGAUUUAAUGUCACUAUAUUUCUAAAAUCACAUUCCUUCUAUAAUAGAUUGUCAGUCAUUCCCCAGUAUCCGUGACUGCCUUGUUAAUUGCAGCAAAAUCCCUGCAAUCAUGGCCUCUGAGAAUAAAAGCCAUAUUUCCCUGACUCCCUUGCAGCUAGCAAGGUCAUGUGUAUGAAAUUCUGGCCAGCAGAAGGGGGAGUGAUGAGUGCAGUUUCCCGGUGAGCCUUGAAAAGGAAAGGAUAUGUCCCCCAGCCCCCUUUCUCCUUUACCACUGGCUGGGACAUGGAUGAGGUGGUGAGCCAGCUUUGAGUCUGGAAAAGGACUGUGUUUUCACAGAUGGCAGAGCAACAGGAGUCUGGGUCCCUGGGCAAUGGCAUGGGCCAGGGUCUGGUCAAUCACCAGCUCAAACUUCACAAGAAUGGGAAACCAACUCUGAUCUUCCUUAGCCACUGUCAUUUUGGUUUCUGUUAAAGUAACAGAAUGAGCUUCCCUAGUGGUUCAGUGGUAAAGAAUCUGCCUGCAGUGCAGGAGCCUCAGGAGAUGCAGGUUUAGUCCCUGGGUUGGGAAGAUCCCCUGGAGAAGGGCAUGGAAAUCCACUACAGUAUUCUUACCUGGAAAAUUCCAUGGACAGAGCAACCUGGUGGGCUACAGUCCAUGGCAAAGAGUGGGAUAUGACUGAAGCAACUUAGCAUGCACACACAAGUAACAGAAUCAACAUCCUGAUGAACACACCUUUCUUAUGGAACUGAGACCGAAGGCAUAACAUUCCCAUAUUUGUCACAAGCAUGCUUUCCCCCUUGUUACAGGACAUCCUUUUCCCUUUUUACUUGUACCCUCACUACAGAGGCUCCAUCCUCUCUAUGCUUUCCUGCUUCCCACUCCUCCCUUAUGACCAUCCUACACACACACAACCCCCUUCCAAAACACACAGACACAGGCUCACACCCACAGGCACACACAUGCACACAGAAACACACACAGAUACAUAAGGACACACACACACACACAUUUCCUACUCACGUAACUCAAUCUCAGUGCUGCAGGAUUGAGAUGCAGGAAAAAAAAUAAUCCCACUUCAGAAUGUGUACCAAGGGGGAAGGUUCUCAGGUAUCAUGGUAGGAGGGAUGGUGGCACCCACCACCUCAAGAUCCCUGGGAGGGACUUCCCUGGUCAUCCAGUGGCUAAGACUCUGCAUUCCCAAGGUAGGGGGCUGGAGUUCACUCCCUGGUCAGGCAACUAGAUCCCACAUGCCACAGCUAAGACCCAGAGAAGCC